rnacentral:lncRNA from 1 species
GGGGAGACCAGCGGGCCAUGACAAGCUCCAGGCUUUGGUUUUCGCUGCUGCUGGCGGCAGCGUUCGCAGGACGGGCGACGGCCCUCUGGCCCUGGCCUCAGAACUUCCAAACCUCCGACCAGCGCUACGUCCUUUACCCGAACAACUUUCAAUUCCAGUACGAUGUCAGCUCGGCCGCGCAGCCCGGCUGCUCAGUCCUCGACGAGGCCUUCCAGCGCUAUCGUGACCUGCUUUUCGGUUCCGGGUCUUGGCCCCGUCCUUACCUCACAGGUCUUUCUCUGUCAUUCAGACUGGAGUGCAGUGGUGUGAUCACGGCUUACAGCAACCUCGAACUCCAGGACUCAAGCAGUCUUCCCGCCUCACUGAUGAGUAGCUAGGACUACAGACGCAUGCCACCGCACCCAGCUAAUUUUUUUAUUUUUUGCAUUUUGUAGAGAUGGGGGUCUUACUGUGUUGCCCAGGCUGGUCUUGAACCCCUGGCUUCAAGCGAUCCUCUUGUCUCGGCCUCCCCGAGUGCUGAGAUUACAGGUGUGAGCCACCAUUUAUUACCUAAAGCAUGAUACUUUUCUAGUAUCCCUGUAUAGUACUGAGUCCAAGAAGCUAAACUUG